AACCUGAAACCGUGUACGUACAAGCAGUAGGAGCACCUUCGUGGUGUGACUGCGUACCUUUUGUAUAAUGGGUCAGCGACUUAUAUUCAGUGGCAAGGUUAACCGUAUAGGGGAGCCGUAGCGAAAGCGAGUCUUAACUGGGCGCUCAGUCUCUGGAUAUAGACCCGAAACCGGGUGAUCUAGCCAUGGGCAGGUUGAAGGUUGAGUAACAUCAACUGGAGGACCGAACCGACUAAUGUUGAAAAAUUAGCGGAUGACUUGUGGCUAGGGGUGAAAGGCCAAUCAAACUCGGAGAUAGCUGGUUCUCCCCGAAAGCUAUUUAGGUAGCGCCUCGGACGAAUACUACUGGGGGUAGAGCACUGUUAAGGCUAGGGGGUCAUCCCGACUUACCAACCCUUUGCAAACUCCGAAUACCAGUAAGUACUAUCCGGGAGACACACGGCGGGUGCUAACGUCCGUCGUGGAGAGGGAAACAACCCAGACCGCCAGCUAAGGUCCCAAAGUAUUGCUAAGUGGGAAACGAUGUGGGAAGGCUCAGACAGCUAGGAUGUUGGCUUAGAAGCAGCCAUCAUUUAAAGAAAGCGUAAUAGCUCACUAGUCGAGUCGGCCUGCGCGGAAGAUGUAACGGGGCUAAGCAAUACACCGAAGCUGCGGCAAUGUCUUUUAGACAUUGGGUAGGGGAGCGUUCUGUAAGCCGUUGAAGGUGAAUCGUAAGGUUUGCUGGAGGUAUCAGAAGUGCGAAUGCUGACAUGAGUAACGACAAAGGGGGUGAAAAACCUCCUCGCCGGAAGACCAAGGGUUCCUGUCCAACGUUAAUCGGGGCAGGGUGAGUCGACCCCUAAGGUGAGGCCGAAAGGCGUAAUCGAUGGGAAACGGGUUAAUAUUCCCGUACUUCUGACUAUUGCGAUGGGGGGACGGAGAAGGCUAGGUGGGCCAGGCGACGGUUGUCCUGGUUCAAGUGCGUAGGCUUGAGAGUUAGGUAAAUCCGGCUCUCUCUAAGGCUGAGACACGACGUCGAGCUACUACGGUAGUGAAGUCAUUGAUGCCAUGCUUCCAGGAAAAGCCUCUAAGCUUCAGAUAGUCAGGAAUCGUACCCCAAACCGACACAGGUGGUCGGGUAGAGAAUACCAAGGCGCUUGAGAGAACUCGGGUGAAGGAACUAGGCAAAAUGGUACCGUAACUUCGGGAGAAGGUACGCUCUUGAUGGUGAAGUCCCUCGCGGAUGGAGCUGACGAGAGUCGCAGAUACCAGGUGGCUGCAACUGUUUAUUAAAAACACAGCACUGUGCAAAAUCGCAAGAUGACGUAUACGGUGUGACGCCUGCCCGGUGCCGGAAGGUUAAUUGAUGGGGUUAGCGCAAGCGAAGCUCUUGAUCGAAGCCCCGGUAAACGGCGGCCGUAACUAUAACGGUCCUAAGGUAGCGAAAUUCCUUGUCGGGUAAGUUCCGACCUGCACGAAUGGCGUAAUGAUGGCCACGCUGUCUCCACCCGAGACUCAGUGAAAUUGAAAUCGCUGUGAAGAUGCAGUGUACCCGCGGCUAGACGGAAAGACCCCGUGAACCUUUACUACAGCUUGGCACUGAACAUUGAACCUACAUGUGUAGGAUAGGUGGGAGGCUAUGAAGACGUGACGCCAGUUGCGUUGGAGCCGUCCUUGAAAUACCACCCUUGUAUGUUUGAUGUUCUAACUUAGACCCAUUAUCUGGGUUGAGGACAGUGCCUGGUGGGUAGUUUGACUGGGGCGGUCUCCUCCCAAAGAGUAACGGAGGAGCACGAAGGUGGGCUAAUCACGGUUGGACAUCGUGAGGUUAGUGCAAUGGCAUAAGCCCGCUUAACUGCGAGAAUGACGGUUCGAGCAGGUGCGAAAGCAGGUCAUAGUGAUCCGGUGGUUCUGUAUGGAAGGGCCAUCGCUCAACGGAUAAAAGGUACUCCGGGGAUAACAGGCUGAUACCGCCCAAGAGUUCAUAUCGACGGCGGUGUUUGGCACCUCGAUGUCGGCUCAUCACAUCCUGGGGCUGAAGUCGGUCCCAAGGGUAUGGCUGUUCGCCAUUUAAAGUGGUACGCGAGCUGGGUUUAGAACGUCGUGAGACAGUUCGGUCCCUAUCUGCCGUGGGCGUUGGAAGAUUGAAGGGGGCUGCUCCUAGUACGAGAGGACCGGAGUGGACGAACCUCUGGUGUUCGGGUUGUGUCGCCAGACGCAUUGCCCGGUAGCUAAGUUCGGAAUUGAUAAGCGCUGAAAGCAUCUAAGCGCGAAGCGAGCCCUGAGAUGAGUCUUCCCUGACAGUUUAACUGUCCUAAAGGGUUGUUCGAGACUAGAACGUUGAUAGGCAGGGUGUGUAAGCGUUGUGAGGCGUUGAGCUAACCUGUACUAAUUGCCCGUGAGGCUUAACCAUACAACACCCAAGGGGUUUUGUA
rnacentral:rRNA from 1 species